rnacentral:lncRNA from 1 species
AGCUUCUUGAACAAGUUCACCUUCGGUAUUACUUUGCUUAAUUUCCUCUGCAUCAUUACUCUUUGUUAUAUCAUCAAUGUUGCUAUCAGCGUCCAUUGGAUCAGCUUUUGGUUCUGCAGAUGACAGUUCCUUCUCCGACUCAACUAUUGCCUCCUCGACCACGGCAUUCGAAGCUUCUUGAACAAGUUCACCUUCUGUAUUACUUUGCUUAAUUUCCUCUGCAUCAUUACUCUUUGUUUUAUCAUCAAUGUUGCUAUCAGCAUCCAUUGGAUCGGCUUUUGGUUCUGCAGAAGACACUUCCUUUUCCGACUCAACUAUUGCCUCCUCGACCACAGCAUUCGAAGCUUCUUGAACAAGUUCACCUUCUGUAUUACUAGGCUUAAUUUCAUCUGCAUCAUUACUUUUUGUUUUAUCAUAGAUGUUGCUAUCUGCAUCCACCGGAUCAGCAUCCAGUUCUUCUGCAGAAGGAUUUUCCUUUUCCGAUUCAACUAUUGUCUCCUCAGACACAGCAUUCAAAUCUUCUUGAACAAGUUCACCUUCUGCAUUACUUUGCUUAAUUUCCUCCACAUCAUCACUCCUUGUUUUAUCAUUGACAUUGUCAUCAGUGUCCAUUGGAUCGGCUUCCAGUUCUUCCGCAGAAGACUUUUCCUUUGCCGAUUCAGCUAUUGCUUCUUCAACCACAGCAUUUGAAGCUACAAUAACAUGUUCACCUUCUGCAUUACUUUGCUUAAUUUCCUCGGCAUCAUCACUCCUUGUUUUAUUAUUGACAUUUUCAUCAGUGUCCAUUGGAUCAGCUUUAGGUUCUUCAGCAGAAGACUUUUCCUUUGCCGAUUCAACUAUCUCCUCCUCGACCACAGCCUUCAAAGGUUCUUGAACAAGUUCACCUUCUGCUUUACUUUGC